rnacentral:rRNA from 1 species
UACGGAGGGUGCAAGCGUUAAUCGGAAUUACUGGGCGUAAAGCGUGCGCAGGCGGUGAUGUAAGACAGAUGUGAAAUCCCCGGGCUCAACCUGGGAACUGCAUUUGUGACUGUAGAGCUGGAGUACGGUAGAGGGGGAUGGAAUUCCGCGUGUAGCAGUGAAAUGCGUAGAUAUGCGGUGGAACACCGAUGGCGAAGGCAAUCCCCUGGACCUGUACUGACGCUCAUGCACGAAAGCGUGGGGAGCAAACAGG